UACGUAGGUGGCGAGCGUUGUCCGGAUUUACUGGGCGUAAAGGGAGCGUAGGCGGACUUUUAAGUGAGAUGUGAAAUACUCGGGCUCAACUUGAGUGCUGCAUUUCAAACUGGAAGUCUAGAGUGCAGGAGAGGAGAAUGGAAUUCCUAGUGUAGCGGUGAAAUGCGUAGAGAUUAGGAAGAACACCAGUGGCGAAGGCGGUUCUCUGGACUGUAACUGACGCUGAGGCUCGAAAGCGUGGGGAGCAGACAGG
rnacentral:rRNA from 1 species